UUGGAUAUGGUGUAAAGGCAGCAUGGUCGCUCAAAGUUGGGGCUUCUGUUUCAAAUGAAGCAAUCGAUCCAGGUUCGACCCCUGGUAUCCGAA